GCGGUUGGCGGUUCACCGGAUCCCAUCAGAACUCCGAAGUUAAGCGUGCUUGGGCGAGAGCAGUACUAGGAUGGGUGACCCCCUGGGAAGUCCUCGUGUUGCACCU
rnacentral:rRNA from 1 species